rnacentral:rRNA from 1 species
CCUACGGGAGGCAGCAGUGAGGAAUAUUGGUCAAUGGGCGGUAGCCUGAACCAGCCAAGUAGCGUGAAGGAUGAAGGCGCUAAGCGUCGUAAACUUCUUUUAUCGGGGAAUAAAGUGCGACACGUGUGCCGUUUUGUAUGUACUAUAUGAAUAAGGAUCGGCUAACUCCGUGCCAGCAGCCGCGGUAAUACGGAGGAUCCGAGCGUUAUCCGGAUUUAUUGGGUUUAAAGGGAGCGUAGGUGGAUUGGGAAGUCAGUUGUGAAAGGUUGCGGCUCAACCGUAAAAUUGCAGUUGAUACUGUCAGCCUUGAGUACAGUAGAGGUAGGCGGAAUUCGCGGUGUAGCGGUGAAAUGCUUAGAUAUCACGAAGAACUCCGAUUGCGAAGGCAGCCUACUGGACCGCGACUGACACUGAUGCUCGAAAGUGUGGGUAUCAAACAGGAUUAGAUACCCCAGUAGUC